UACCGUCUUAUUAAGAAUUAGUACGCUAGUUUUUUGAAUUCCGUAUAUAUACAGUUUUUUUUAAACAAAUUAAAUCAAUUACAAGUGAUAAUCAUCGCUUCUGCUCGAUACACAAAUUAAAUGUUUUUAUUAAUAAAAUAUAUAUGAAUAAAAACCUGCAGCCAAACGCUAGUGAAAUAAAUAACACAUGAUAUAUUCCUCGAUAAACAUCACAUAAUUAUUAAAUAAGGUAAUAUCAAAUAAAUAUUAAUAAUUUUAGGUUCGCUAGUGCCACAUAAUCUUCUGAGCUUAGACUAGAACACAACUUCAAAGUAUAAUGCUCCAAAUAAAUACGUCCAAAUGGCUCCAUACUACUAUUUUACUAUUUGUAUUCGUUGCUGUAAAUUGUAGCGAAUGGAUAAUAGAACGGGUACAGCUGCAGGAAAUUAAUCAAAACUAUCUGAAGAAUACAUCUUUUGACUUAGUCUCUUACUCGAGAAGGAAACGUGUAAUAAACUUUUACACAGAAACCUUGGAAACAUUUGAUAACAACGUUACGGUCAGCAAUGAAUACGAAGAGUUUAUGAAUAACGAGUACAGGCCAGCUUUUGUUGGUCUUCGAUUCAAGCUUUGUGACUUCAUAGAAGCGCCGUAUGUAAUGAUUAAACAGAAGUUCGGAAUACAAUGUCCCAUACCACCGGUAAGAAUUAAAUACAAGUGAUUGAGAUUUGUAAAUCAUAGACAAAUAGUCUUCUGACCCUGACGCAUGCCGUCGCUUUUUGGCUCUGUGGCAGGCCGAUGAACAUGGUAUGGUAU